rnacentral:misc_RNA from 1 species
UUUGCGUUAAAAAAUUUCAUAAAAUUUUCAUACAAGCAACUUCCUCCGGAACAAUGUUACCACAAGCGGACAUCAGGGUAUGUAAAUGAGAAGGGAGCGACAGAUGAAAUUUCAAGGUCGCACUGUUUAGUUUAAUUUUGUUUUAAUUCAUAUCCUCGAUUUUUCAGCUUUCACCACCACUUGUCUUAUUCAAUGUCCUUGCUUCGAUUUAAGAGGGGAAAUAUUGAAAGAUGUGAUAUGAAUACCAGGUAGGAUGGUGAACACAAACAUUGGAAAACUGGGGGAAGUCUUGACUCCAACGUCGAUCAACCUAACCCGGCGUACAUACACGCACGGAUGUGGGGAUGCAUUGUUUAGAAAAUGGGACGGUGCGAAUCGUAGGGGCAGAAAUGGUAGUUAUUCCGGUAUCUCAACGGGUAUAAUACGAGUUGUUCUUGCGUGGUGGACCGAGAAUUGGAUGAAAUCUAUGAAUGGAUACGUAAGACUUCGGUAAGGAUGUUCAGAUGAAUCAUAUGUUCGCUGAUACGUUCUUUUUAAUUUUUUAAUAAUUAUUUUUUACGCCUUAAUUUACCGUAUUGCGCGUGACUCUCGUCCUUUACCUGAAACUUUUGCUGAGAUUAUAGCGAAUUUCGACAAUGUUAAGCGUUAUUCCUUGAAGGUGUUAGCACGAUUUUUAUUGCUCGAUAUUUGUGUGGAUAUGGAAUGUGACGUUUCAUAUGAUCAAACGGCAAUCGGACAUACCGCACGAUUUAUACAUUUAUAUCAAUAUAUUCUUGCCGACUAUCGAAUUAUUUGCACAAAUUACAGUCAUUUUAAAACUAAUGUGAUUAGUUUAAUUUUUACAAGCACUUGCCCAGAAGUUAAGC